GGAGAGAUGGCCGAGUCGGCUGAAGGCGCUCGCCUGCUAAGCGAGUGUAGGGCUUAACACCCUACCGAGGGUUCGAAUCCCUCUCUCUCCGCCA
rnacentral:tRNA from 1 species